rnacentral:lncRNA from 1 species
AUGGUAUUGGAGACUAAAAUAAAUUUAAAUAUAUAGUGGAUAAAUGUUAAAAUAGGGUAAACUUUUAAAUAUCACCGUAGGAUUUCCACUACAACAAAAACGGUUUAUAGCGACACUUUUAAAUAUAGGUAUAUGUCAAAAAAGUGCUGCUAGCUAAAAUUACUGACACUUUUAAAAAGUGUUGCUAUAUGUGGGGUCGCUAGAUAUAUAAUGACAGUUAAAGAGUGUCGCUAUAACCUAAAAUAGUAUUGCUAAUUUACCAACACUUAUUUAAGCAUUUAGCAACCGCCGAAACUCUAUCUCGUUGGCUGCGUUGGCGGAGGAUGACGACAGUAAAGGCUCUUCGUCUAGAAUUUCAGUGGAUUGAGUGAAGAGAGAAAAAAAGAUGGUAAUUGAUUUUUCUUUUUUUUUUCUUUUCUGUUUUUAAUCGGGCCAAAUGGACUAGGUGUGAUGGGUUGAGUAAGUAAUCUUUUAUUUUUGGUUGGAUUGGACUAUAUAUUUAGGCAUUAGUAGAUGUGUUUUUAAGUUUUAGCAUAAAUGGGACACUUACUCAAAAGUGUCCCAAACAUGUGUCCCUAUAACCUAAUUCUGUUGUAGUGUUCGUACUUUUUUAUUUUAAUAUUUUGUGAUUUAAAAUAUAUUAAUUUAAUAUUUUAUGAUUUAUUUUUUUCUUUUCGUCGGUUCAUCCGCUAAUUUUUUAUUAAAUUAUUUACAAAAAAACUUCAGAUAUCUCACUUACAGUUUAUCGAAUAUUCAUUUUAGUACCCUUUAGUUUUAUCUUUUUACUGAUUUAACGAAAAAAAUUAAUGAAGGAGAUAAUAAAAAGAGAAAAAUAAAACCACAUGGUAUAAAAAUGAUACACUUUAAACCAUAGGGUACUAAAGUGAGAAAAUGUGAAAUUAUAUAAGUGGUAUUUGAAGUUUUUUUUAAAAAUUAUGCGGGUAAAAAUACAUGGAGACCGUUGUAUCGCAUUUCGAAUAUGCCUAUCUGAAUUUUCAUUUUUUUUGGAUUUGCACCUUAUGUUUAUUUAAAUUAUAGACCAUUAUGAGUUCUCUAUCCCAUCUUUAAAAUUUAAAAUUUACUAUCCAAAUUUUUAAUUUAUUUUUGAGUUAGUCUAAAAUUUUAAUAUGUCAUUUAUCUUUACAGAUUUAGUUACUGUAUUUUAUAUAACUCUGGCAACUCUAAACUUAUUAAAAUAAAUAAAUACUUAAAUUUUAAUGUCAAAAUAUUAUUGAUUGAUUCAAAUCAAACAAAUUGAAAAAUUGUAUAGCAAAAUCAAAAUUUUGAAAGAUUAGUUAAACGAUUCAAACUUAGUUUAGAUAAAUUCUAUA